AGCACAAUUGCUGGGUCACAUGGUAAGAGUAUGUUUAGUUUUAUGAAAAUCCACCAAACUGUUUUCCAAAGUAGCUGUACUAUUUUGCAUUCCCACCAGCAAU
rnacentral:pre_miRNA from 1 species